GACGAAGGGUGCAAGCGUUAUCCGGAUUCAUUGGGUUUAAAGGGUGCGUAGGCGGCCUUAUAAGUCAGUGGUGAAAUCUCUGGGCUUAACUCAGAAACUGCCAUUGAUACUGUACGUCUAGAGUACAUUUGCUGUGGGCGGAAUAUGACAUGUAGUGGUGAAAUACUUAGAUAUGUCAUAGAACACCGAUUGCGAAGGCAGCUCACAAAAAUGUAACUGACGCUGAGGCUCGAAAGUGCGGGGAGCAAACAGG
rnacentral:rRNA from 1 species